AGAUUGAACGCUGGCGGCAUGCCUUACACAUGCAAGUCGAACGGCAGCGCGGGGCAACCUGGCGGCGAGUGGCGAACGGGUGAGUAAUAUAUCGGAACGUACCCUGGAGUGGGGGAUAACGUAGCGAAAGUUACGCUAAUACCGCAUACGAUCUAAGGAUGAAAGUGGGGGAUUCGCAAGAACCUCAUGCUCCUGGAGCGGCCGAUAUCUGAUUAGCUAGUUGGUGGGUAAAGGCCUACCAAGGCAUCGAUCAGUAGCUGGUCUGAGAGGACGACCAGCCACACUGGAACUGAGACACGGUCAGACUCCUACGGGAGCAGCAGUGGGAUUUGGACAAUGGGCGUAAAGCCUGAUCCAGCAAGUGCCGACGUGAGUGAAGGUAACGGCCUUCGGUUAGUAAACGCUUACGUUUUGUACGAGGGAAGAAACGGUGGAAGAGACUAAUA
rnacentral:rRNA from 1 species